UAUCCGUGGGUUCACUGCAUCACGCACAAAUCUUUCGCCUUUUACUAAAGAUUUCCGUGCAGAGGACCAAUAAGAUCGGAAUUAACAAUUUAUUUCUGCCUUGUCUUUUGAUGAGGC
rnacentral:snRNA from 1 species